rnacentral:rRNA from 1 species
UGGGGAAUAUUGCACAAUGGGCGAAAGCCUGAUGCAGCAACGCCGCGUGAGCGAUGAAGGCCUUCGGGUCGUAAAGCUCUGUCCUCAAGGAAGAUAAUGACGGUACUUGAGGAGGAAGCCCCGGCUAACUACGUGCCAGCAGCCGCGGUAAUACGUAGGGGGCUAGCGUUAUCCGGAAUUACUGGGCGUAAAGGGUGCGUAGGUGGUUUCUUAAGUCAGAAGUGAAAGGCUACGGCUCAACCGUAGUAAGCUUUUGAAACUGAGAAACUUGAGUGCAGGAGAGGAGAGUAGAAUUCCUAGUGUAGCGGUGAAAUGCGUAGAUAUUAGGAGGAAUACCAGUUGCGAAGGCGGCUCUCUGGACUGUAACUGACACUGAGGCACGAAAGCGUGGGGAGCAAACA